ACAUUUCAAAACAGAUCUGCGCCCAUGAAUUAUUGUCAUAUUUAUGUGCUGGACUAACAAGUAUUUUAAAAAUUUGUAUUCUCAUAUGUGGCAAAGACAAGCCAAACCAGUCACUCCACUCAAAGCGUGUUUCAGAGAUAAUAGCCAAAACAUGUCGGAAUGUCAACAUUUUCGAAAUCUGUUUAUUGCUCUAAACUUUAUGUAGUACCUAUACAUACUGUAUGCGCUAUGUUGUUAUUUUCCCUAUUUUCUACUUUAAAAAACAAUAUUUUUCUAAUCAUGCAUUGGUGAUGGUCUCUGCCUGAGGAAUGUCCCAUAUUCGUAAAAUUUGAAUUCUUAUUUCUCAAAUACUGUUAUUUAAACAGCUGUACAGUAUGUUUGAUAUCCCUUAACUUCAUAAUGAAAUGUCAGAUUUAAAUGAUUCUUUUACCAUUUUAUAACUUUCAUUUUACUGUUUAACACAGUAUUAAUAACUUAGCUACAAUCAAUUUUUUUUUGCAAAGAGGGACUGGUUUGGCUUAAACCACAUAUUGAAUAUUCUUUUUGUAAAAUAUCAAUUUUUAUCUUUGUAUUUUAGACUUCAGUGAUUUUCGUCCUGCCAGGGUAGCUUUCCAAGCUGGCAGUCUACCUAAGGGUGCAAAGGUAGAAAUCGAUGCCAUUGCCAUGGUUGAUGCCAUUACAGAUAUUAAUUAGCAAUUGGACUUGGUAGCAAGUAGGCCUGAUGGAUAGAUACUGUGAAAAAUCAAAAACAUGAAAUCAUUGUAAUAAUUAAAUUACUUCUUUUUUCCAACUCCAACAGUAAAGCACUAUCAUUCUGAAUGAAUUUAUUCAAAGAAAUGAAAUCAUUCUAAUUGUUUCAAGUAUUUUUGGUUUUGAUAAACUCAUAUCGGUAAUACAGUAGAUCAUUUCAUGUUUGGUGUUUUCAUUUGGGAUAUUAAAAAAAAAUUUUUUUUUAAAUUUAUAUAUAGUAUCUAUAUAACCAUAUUUUUAUUUGGGAUUAGUUUGUCUUGGUAUAUAUUGUAUCUAUUAUAACAAAACACAUUGAUAGUGGUAAACUAUCUAAAGCCUGAUCUCUAACUAGAUAUCCUGUCCUUAUCCACCCAAGAUGUUCCAACAAGUUAAUAAUGAAUAACUUGUAAUGUUAAUGAGAUAGAGAUUUUUGAAUAUUUAAAAACUUGAGGGAAAAAAAAUGGUAACCACCCCCCCACUUUUUUUUUAGUUUUUAAAUAAUUAUUAUUAUUAUUGUUGUUUCUUGCUAUUAUUCUUACCAUUAUUAUUCCUAAUCAAUUUAUUGCAACUCAUUGAAAUAGUGUUUACCUGAAUAGUAGAGGAUAAUGUUAUACAUAUAUAAUAUGUGUAUUAAAAGCAAUGUAAAUGUUAGUGUCCUUGAGGGUAUACUGUACGGUUUGUGUUAAUAUGAAAGUAAAAAGAAAAGGAAAUUUGAAA